rnacentral:rRNA from 1 species
GACAGAGGCCUCGAGCGUUAGGCGGAAUCACUGGGCUUAAAGCGUGUGUAGGCGGGCCCGUAAGUGUCUUGUGAAAUCCCACGGCUCAACCGUGGAACUGCUGGGCAUACUGCGGGUCUUGGGCCAACUAGGGGCAGCCGGAACAAGCGGUGGAGCGGUGAAAUGCGUAGAUAUCGCUUGGAACGCCGAAGGUGAAAACAGCUCGCUGGGGGUUUGCUGACGCUGAGACACGAAAGCCAGGGGAGCAAACGGG